rnacentral:rRNA from 1 species
AUUGAACGCUGGCGGCAGGCCUAACACAUGCAAGUCGAGCGAGCGGCGGACGGGUGAGUAAUGACUGGGAAACUGCCUGAGGGAGGGGGAUAACUACCGGAAACGGUAGCUAAUACCGCAUACCAUCAGAUGUGCCAAGAUGGGAUGAGCUCGCAGGUGGGGUAACGGCUCACCUAGGCGACGAUCCCUAGCUGGGCUGAGCGGAUGCACGGCCAGACUGGAUCUGAGCAACGGUCCAGACUCCUAAGGGGGGCAUCGGUGGAGAAUAUUGCACAAUGGGCGCAAGCCUGAUGCAGCCAUGCCGCGGGUGUGAAGAAGGCCUGCGGGUUGUAAAGCACUUACAGCGGGGAGGCGUUACCCGAAGAAGAAGCACCGGCUAACUCCGUGCCAGCAGCCGCGGUAAUAC